rnacentral:rRNA from 1 species
UACGUAGGUGGCAAGCGUUGUCCGGAAUUAUUGGGCGUAAAGGGCGCGUAGGCGGCUCUAUAAGUCAAAGGUGAAAUCCCUCGGCUCAACUGAGGAACUGCCUUUGAAACUGUUGGCUUGAGGCCGGGAGAGGGUAGUGGAAUUCCCAGUGUAGCGGUGAAAUGCGUAGAUACUGGGAGGAACACCAGUGGCGAAGGCGGCUACCUGGACCGGUUCUGACGCUGAGGCGCGAAAGCGUGGGUAGCAAACAGG